rnacentral:rRNA from 1 species
UAUAGAGGUCAGCCUGCCCAGUGACCCUGUUCAACGGCCGCGGUAUCCUAACCGUGCGAAGGUAGCGUAAUCACUUGUUCUUUAAAUGUGGACUAGUAUGAAUGGCAUCACGAAGGUUAUACUGUCUCCUUUUUCUAAUCAGUGAAACUAAUCUCCCCGUGAAGAAGCGAGGAUAAAAAUAUAAGACGAGAAGACCCUAUGGAGCUUUAAACAAAGUAGCACUCGCCACAUAAAUGAAAAAUUCCAGAAUCACCAUCUUCCUCAGGCAAUCUGACUACACGUUUUUGGUUGGGGUGACCGCGGAGUAUAACACAACCUCCAUGUUGAAAGAAAGCUUUCUAAACUAAGAGCUACACCUCUAAGUAUCAAAAGAUUGACAUCCAUUGACCCAAUAAAUUUGAACAACGAACCAAGUUACCCUAGGGAUAACAGCGCAAUCCACUUCAAGAGCUCCUAUCGACAAGUGGGUUUACGACCUCGAUGUUGGAUCAGGGUCUCCCAGUGGUGCAGCCGCUACUAAAGGUUCGUUUGUUCAACGAUUAAAACCCUACGUGAUCUGAGUUCAGCCCGGA